rnacentral:rRNA from 1 species
UACGUAGGGCGCAAGCGUUAUCCGGAAUUAUUGGGCGUAAAGAGCUCGUAGGCGGUUUGUCGCGUCUGCCGUGAAAGUCCGGGGCUCAACUCCGGAUCUGCGGUGGGUACGGGCAGACUAGAGUGAUGUAGGGGAGACUGGAAUUCCUGGUGUAGCGGUGAAAUGCGCAGAUAUCAGGAGGAACACCGGUGGCGAAGGCGGACUC